AUUGAACGCUGGCGGCAGGCCUAACACAUGCAAGUCGAACGAGUGGCGGACGGGUGAGCAAUGUCUGGGAAACUGCCUGAUGGAGGGGGAUAACUACUGGAAACGGUAGCUAAUACCGCAUACCAUCGGAUGUGCCCAGAUGGGAUUAGCUAGUAGGUGGGGUAAAGGGUCACCUAGGCCACUAUCCCUAGCUGGUCUGAGAGGAGGACAAGCAACACGGGAACUGAGACACGGUCCGGACUCCUACGGGAGGCAGCAGUGGGGAAGAUUGGACAAUGGGCGCAAGCCUGAUGCAGCAAUGCCGCGUGUAUGAAGAAGGCCUUCGGGUUGUAAAGUACUUUCAGCGGGGAGGCGUUACCCGCAGAAGAAGCACCGGCUAACUCCGUGCCAGCCGCCGCGGUAAUUC
rnacentral:rRNA from 1 species